rnacentral:lncRNA from 1 species
UAGGAAACUUCCUCCAAUGCCUUCGUGAUUGGAGCGAUCCGAAGAAUCCCAUCACAAAAGCCAUCUUCACUCCCCAAAACUCAACCUUCACCUCGUCUUACGUGUCAUACACGAAAAACAAAAGAUACUCAAACCCUAACGACACAAACCUAAUAGCCAUCGUUGAGGCAAAACAUGAAUCCCAUGUUCAGACAACUGUGGUCUGCGCUAAGUCCAACCGAGUCCAGAUCCGUAUCCGAAGCGGCGGUCACGACUACGAAGGCCUUUCAUACACCUCUUCCCUGCCGUUUGCAGUUCUCGAUAUGAACAAUCUAAGGUCUAUUACCAUUGACGUGUCCGGCAAGAAAGCUUGGGUUCAAGCUGGUGCAACCCUAGGAGAGCUCUACACAAAAAUCUCUGAAGCGAGUAAAACGUUAGCGUUUCCGGCUGGCGUUUGCCCCACUCUAGGAGCCGGAGGACACAUCAGCGGCGGAGGGUACGGAAACCUAAUGAGAAAAUACGGAAUCUCUGUGGAUCAUGUCGUCGAUGCUCAGUUAGUUGAUGUCAACGGCAAGAUCUUGAACCGUGCCUCCAUGGGAGAAGAUUUGUUUUGGGCUAUUCGCGGCGGUGGUGGCGCCAGCUUCGGCGUUAUCCUCUCGUGGACCAUCAACCUAGUUGCGGUCCCAGAGACUAUAACAGUUUUUAACGUUAACAAAACUUUAGGACAAGGAGCUACCGAUGUUCUGUACAAAUGGCAGCUUGUCUCUAGCAAGUUGCCUAGAGAGCUUUUCUUGAGAGCAAUGCCUCAAAUCACAAAAGGAGCGAAUAAAACCAUCGCGGUUAAGUUCAUCGCUCAGUUCUUAGGCUCAUCAAAGAAGCUCAUGGAGAUUAUAAACAAGAACUUACCUGAACUAGGGCUAAAAGGCGAAGAUUGCUACGAAAUGAGCUGGCUUAAUACGACGACGUUUUGGGCGGACUACCCGGUCGGGACAUCGACAAGUGUUCUUCUGAAAAGGCCAUCUACUCCGCCAGGAGCGUUCUUCAAAAGCAAAUCAGAUUACGUCAAGAAACCGAUCCCUAAAGAAGGUAUUGAGAAGAUGUGGAAAACAAUGUUGAAAUUCAACAACCAUGUGUUUAUGCAAUGGAACCCUUACGGUGGAGUGAUGGACAAGAUUCCUGCGAAUGCAACCGCGUUUCCUCACAGGAAAGGAAACUUGUUCAAGAUUCAGUAUUUUGCAUUAUGGAUAGACGCAAACGCCACAAAAGCUAACCUAGCUUUGAUGAAAGAACUCUAUGAUGUGGCUGAGCCGUACGUGUCAAGCAACCCGAGAGAGGCGUUUUUGAAUUAUAGAGACAUUGAUGUUGGAAGCAAUCCUAGUGGUAUGACAAAUGUUGUAGAAGGUAAGAUAUAUGGAUCCAAGUAUUUCGUGGGGAACUUGAACAGAUUGAUGAAUGUUAAAGCUAAGUAUGAUCCUGAUAAUUUCUUUAGGCAUGAGCAGAGUAUUCCUCCUCUUCGUGCAAUGUAAAAUUAUUAUUAUUAACCAAAUAAUUUGUUAAGCAUGCAUUAAAUUAAGCUCAUGUCAUAACAUAUAGCAAUAUAGCAUAAUCCUCGCAAAUUGGCGUUCAUGCUCAUUUUUCUAAUGACAUUUUUAUCUACUAAACUCCACAGUUUCACAUUCCAUAUGCUUGCAAAAUACUCUUUCAAGAGCUUGUGUCAAUGUCGAUUGCACCACAGAUGCUUAAUAAAGGCCUGAAAUCAGCUAAAGGCAAAAAGUGAGAGUUUGUAAACAUUCGAGCUUUCUUGUUUUCUUUUGUUCGCAUCUUUGUGAGAAAACUAAAUUUUAAAUGUGUAACGUUUAUUUGGUAUUUCUGUUGAAACUAUAAAACCAGAGAGUUUUAUAUAAUAUUCAAAGCUUUAGCUAUUAUUGUUCUCAUGUGGAACCAAAAAUAUCCAACCUACGAUAAGUGUGGGAGGUAAAAUUGAUAAAUAAGGUGAGAAAAUCCAUUGGGCCAUCGAUAAUAACUUAUUGUUUUGCUGAGAAUCACAAGGGGCAUGUGAAAACAAUUAUUAUAUUUUUUAAAGAGUUUGGUAUUUUGACUCUCUUAUAUGUUAGUCGUAGUACUCGGACACCUCCAUGAUGAAAUACCUUCUCUACUGAGAGGAGGCUCUGAAUGUAGCGGUAGUCCUUACAUUGUUAGAACACCUUUAGUGAAGCUCUCUCAACACAGCUCUCACACAUUAAAUAAUACUAGAAAGUAAGCGUAGAAGAGGAGAGAGGUAGGAAAAUCAGGAGAAACGUUUCACAGGGAAGAGAUGAUGGACCACUUUUGAGGUACUCUCUUUCCAGUUGAUGUAAAUGAUAAAGAAAUAUUUUGAUCAAACAAAUGCAACAAAAUAAAUUUAAUGUAUUUCCAGAGAUAAAUAUUGCAAUUAAUAUGAAAGAGGGAUGUUUAAAGUGAUAACAAUAAUAUGUUAUUACAUAACACAAGAAAGAUGGAAAAAAAAAAGAGCUUAGAGGAGUUGAAUAGUGCACUUUGAUGAAAGUUUGGGAAGAUUCAUUAGAUUAGCUAGCAGGAACUCAGCAUUCUUGCCUUUGUUGUCCGGAUCAACACCAACUUUAACAGUUUCAAGACAUUUCAAAUUUCCCAAGAAAUGUCUCAUUUGUUCAACCUCUUGAAAACAACCUCCAUAGUCUGAAAUCUCUAGCACCUUCACUGGACAUGUCUGUAGACAACAUACUUUUUUCUUCUUUUUCAUCUUCUUACUAUUUUUCAGACUUGGAUUCUGAGGGUUACAAGCGCAUGCAUCUCCACAUCUAUUUGUUACUUUGUGAACAAGACCCUAAAAAAAACAUACAAAUUUAAGCUAUGUUUAUUAAAAAAAGAAAAGAAAAAAAAAAGUAUAUACCUUGAAGACUAAAGUUUGUAGAUUUGGACAAGACUUGAGCAAAAGUGGCAUUACUUGCCAACCAUUUUGAUUGUUACUCUCGAUAGAUAAAUUAAGAAGGUUGUUGAAGAUAGGCAUGGAUUUACAACAGAAAUGAAACACCUGAUUCAUUACCAAAAUAUAAGAUAGAGAAAGUUGAUUGAUUAUAAAUAAAUAGAAGGAGGACUGACCUCAAGGGAAUCAGGAGACAAGUGAAGGGUGGUAAUGUUUCUUAUAGCAGCAACAAGACAUGUAACAUCACCGAAUAUAGGCGGGCUUGGAUCAUCAUCAUCACAAAGAGAACCACUACAAUCGUAAUAAUAAUCAUCAUCGUAAUCAUAAUGACUAGUUGACCUCCAUAACUUGAGACUCAGCCUUGCUUCGACAAGAGAAUCCAAAUCACCAACGUCAUACUUUCUAAAGACAAGACUAGAAUAGUCAAGGUAGACGAGACUUGGUGCUUGGAAACGAACUGUUUGGCAAGCAUUUUGGAAAUACUCUAACAAGAGAUAGUAGUCAAUAUGAUGAGGAACAUGCGUAGCAAUCACAAGACGCUUGAUGGAUGCAUGUUCCACAACCGUACCCCCCCAAAGUGGCCCCAUAUCUGAAAAGUCCCCAUUGCGUAUGGUUAACUCUUCCAGCACAGGACAAGCAUGGAUGAUUCGGGGAUAGGAUUCAAUAUCAAGCGCAACCAUCAGAGAAAGUGAUUUGAGGGCGGGGAAAAACACAUCCAGAGAUUCAUCAAUAUCUUCAUCAUCACUAGCUUCACCAUCACUAUCUACAUCAAUAUCAUAAUGACCGGAGAUUGUGAGCUUAACCAGUGUGUUACUCCUAAGUACCCUAGGUUCUAUAUUAACAGUAGACCUACUGGCUGGGGCGUACAAGUGUAGUUCCAAUAAACCUUGUUCCAUUGCAGUCCAAAUCCAACGGUUGAGACGGGCGGAUUCGUGGUUGUAACUCAUAGUCUUAGCUACACGACAGAGAGAGAAUGUCUUGAUGGCGGGAGAGUUGUGUAGCAGAGCAAGUGUCUUGUCUACGAAAUCACAGAAGCGUUGUGAACCUUUUGUUGCUUCUUCUUCGUUAGGAUAGACAACCAUCGACUCAUCAAAACUAAGCCUGUCUACAAGAGACAGAAGAUUCCUCCACCUCUUGGACAGAACCGAUGUGGAAGCAGCCUCUUUUGUCGGAACUAGAGACAGGAGUUUGCCAAGAAUCUCAUCUGGCAAACUGCUAAUUGAAUCCCCCAUAGCCAAAUUUAGUAUCGACACCUGAAUCAAACAGUAGAAGCGUUCCAAUCUUAAAAAACAAAUCUCAACCAAAAACAAACAAACAAACAAGAAUCACAGAUGAUAAUCUAAAUUGAACGAGAGAAGAAAGGGUGAGACUAAGUUUUGGAUUAACCAAAAGAAAAGCUUACAACGUCAGAGGAAGAACCAAGAGCCUGCCUGAGCUUGACGAUAUAAUUGACCAGCUGCGGUUUUUUUUUUCUUUUUCUUUUUCUUUUUUGACAGAGAACACAAAGAAAGUGCUUUUAUACUAGUAGAUAAGUUUCCAAUUAUCACGUUUUUCUAUUUUUUCGUUAUAUCCUUUUUAUCUCAUAUAAAAUUGGAUUUUCUAUAAUUAAUAGAGAGAUAUUGAUAUUAAUUGUUGUGAGCAAUGUGGGACUCUACUUAUCAUUACCGCAUAGUAAAUUCAAUGCACAGCCUCAAACCCACUGCGCCCGAUGUGAAGUCAUUUCCAUGAUGUGGUGUGAUGAACAAAGUAGCAGUUUUUACCAAAAAAAAAAACAAAGUAGCAGUCGCAAGUGAAGAUCAUGAACUUGGAUUUCUCAAACGUAUGGUUCUUCCCUGAACUCGUCCCCGCUUGCCUCCUUGAUUGUCUCGUGACAUAUUUAUUAGGAGUCAAGCUGUCUCUCAUCCAACAACCAGUGACAGUUUCGGUAGCUUUGUACAGUAGUUCCAUGACCCUCUGAAUUUCAGAGCUCAUUGUCAUCAAGUUCACAAACAACAGAAUCAUACUGACACGUCCCCUUGUACCAGGUCUCUGUAGCUCUGAUGGCAUGAUUGGUGGAACUUAAACAGCUUUGUUCCCCAAAAAUUGAUCCAACACAAGGGAGGUUUUCCAGUCCCAGCUCUUACCCAUGGCAACAUGGGCAUUUGCCAUGGGUCCAAAUUUUUUUGUGUUGUUUUAAAAGUCCAUUUCAAUUUGUUAAAUUAUUUAUUUAUUACAAGAUAAAAACAAUAAAAAAUUUAUACGUUCAUCAUUAGUUUUGAGAUAUUUUUUCUAUUUGUUUAAGGUAGUGUUUUGAAAACCGGACCAGACAUUGAUUCGGUAUUAUAACUAAAUCAAUGGUCAGNNNNNNNNNNNNNNNNNNNNNNNNNNNNNNNNNNNNNNNNNNNNNNNNNNNNNNNNNNNNAAAAAUGUGAUUUUUUAUGAAAUUUUUAAAAAAUUUGCAAUUUAAAAAAAUACUUGAAUUUGAAAAAAAAAUAGGAUUUUAAUAUCAAUGUUGAUCACUGGUUUUAGCGAGUUUUACCAGUUUUUGACCGGAAUUGCCAAUUUAACUCAAAUCCGGUAUUUAGUAUAACCCAGAACCGAAUAGAUGGCCGAGUCAUGGUCCGACCGGUCGGUUUGGUCUAGCCGGCCGGUCCGAUCCAGUUUUCAAAACACUGGUUUCAGAUCUUAGAGUUCAAGUUAAAAGAAAUGCAGUGAAGAAAAAUGUAGAAAAUAUGUAUAAAAGAAUCCAUAUUCUGUAUUUCGCCCAGGGUUAUCAUAUUGGUUAAUACGGCAUGAGGUUUCCACUCCAUUCGCUAACUGAAAAACACCCAUGGCCUUCUGCGUCUAAUGACAAAGAAGUCUGAUAGCUCUCGUAUUCUGUCUUCCACCAAAUGUUUUGACUUCCCCAACAGAUUAAGAAGCUCACUUUCCCAUCAGUGCUAACUCUCUCCAUCCUAUCUGUCUGACCAGAACCUGCUCCUAAGUGCACAAGAUUAAGUCAAAGUUACAUUCUUUUGGUUUAUCAUGGUGAAUAAUUGAUGAUGCGUGGUUUUAGUUUCGUUUUAGGCCCAUACUAAUAUGUUUGGUCAGCCAUCAACAUCACUAUAUUUUGUGACCCCAGCAUCAACCGCGUGUAAUGAAUUUUCACGUUGUUAUUACUCCACAAACACCAAUUUCUAAUCAAUAGCUAUCAGUAGUCAUUAAUAACGAACCCACCCUAGUUCCCGUCUAUAUCCAAAUCCAAUUACGAUUCCUUCAUAAGAAUAUUAGAAAGCUAGAAACUAGAAAAAAUCUCGUCUUGGCACUACACUAAUAUUAGGAAAAGAAAGAUACUUUCACACCAUAUGUUCGGAUAAAUCUCGUUCUCGUGUGAAAAAAUGUGAGAAAAAAUAAUUGCCUUAAGUAUUCAAUAAGAUAGUAAAUGCAUGGUAACAUUACAAAUUUACAAUUAUAGCUGACGUCCCACAUAAUCGCCACAAAUCAAAACUGACACAAAAAAUGAAAACCUCUAAACUUGAGUCAAAAUCAUAUUUGAAUUUUUAACUUGUUUAAAACGUACGUACUUAUGCAUUUUGUAUUUGUUUUAAACGUAAACUCUCUUUCCAUUGGCCUAUGUUGGUUAUGUUUACGCAUAGUCGAUAUAAUUUUACAUCACAUACCUAACUACUAACUAGAUGAACUUGACAAGUUACUUCAGUAGCUUCAGUACAAAACAAACCAAUUUUUCACAUCAAUCCAAAACAGUCCCGUUCAAUGAUUCAGCUUCUUACGAGUGUGCAUGACAAACGCCAUUCAAUCAUCACAUCCACCUAUAUUUUAUUGGAUCAAUACGUGUGGUUCUUAUCUAUCCACAUUUUUCAUACAUCUCACUACCAAGUUUUUUUUCAUUUUCAGUUUCACUUUUCCUUCAACACUUUUGAAAUUGUAAAUAUUAGGCUAUUCUGCCUACUAAAACCUACUUCACAUUUUUUAUUCAUUCUACUCUAAACUCAUCCAUUGUUGCAGAAAAAGAAACAAUGAAACUCAAAAGCUUCCUUAGCUCUAUACUACUCUCCUUCACUACCAUUUUCUUACUUCUAUCACUUCCUCGUUCGGUUUCAGCUAACCAAUCCAACCACACCGGUUUUCUCCAAUGUCUAUCUCUCCGGUUAAACGACUCCAACAUCGUCUCAAAAGUCAUACACACACCAAACGACUCUUCUUUCUCCUCCGUCUUAUCCUUAUCCAUACAAAACCCGAGAUUCUCCACCCCCGGUACACCUAAACCGGUUUUAAUCCUAACUCCGGUUCAACCUUCACAUGUUCAGUCAGCGGUUAAAUGCGCACGCCGGUUCGGUAUCCACAUCAGAACCCGAAGCGGAGGACACGACUACGAAGGCCUAUCUUACGCCACACGCAAGCCCUUCGUAAUCCUCGACUUAACCAACCUCCGGUCCAUCACAAUCGACGUCGAUAACCGGUCGGUUUGGGUCCAAACCGGAGCCACGAUCGGUGAACUAUACUACGAGCUCGGUAAAAAGAAUAAAACUUUAGCGUUCCCCGCCGGAGUUUGCCCCACCGUCGGCGUCGGAGGACACUUCAGCGGCGGAGGUUACGGUACCCUCCUGAGAAAACACGGCUUAGCCGCCGAUCACGUGAUAGACGCGCGUGUGGUCGACGCGCGAGGGAGAGUUCUUGAGAGGCGAGAGAUGGGCGAAGACUUCUUCUGGGCGAUACGUGGAGGCGGUGGCUCGAGCUUCUGCGUCGUGCUCUCGUGGAAGAUCGGUUUAGUCGAUGUUCCGUCGACGGUAACGGUCUUCAACGUCACGGAGUUUGAAGAACAGAGCGCUUUAAAGGUUAUCCACCGUUGGCAGUUUGUUUCAGACAAAGUCUCUGAUGACUUGUUCGUGAGAGUUAUGCUGCAGAGGUAUAAGAACAUGGUUCGAGCCUCCUUUCCCGGUUUGUAUCUCGGUUCGGUUAAGAGUUUGUUGGAGUUAGUAAACCGGGAGUUUCCGGAACUCGGUUUGGAGGAAAAAGAUUGUCAAGAGAUGAGCUGGAUAGAGUCUGUGGUUUGGUUCGCUGAGUUAGGUGACGUACCGAUCGAUGUUCUUGGGAAACGCACACGUGCGUCUUUAGCUUUCAAGGCUAAGUCAGACUUCGUUCAAGAGCCAAUACCGGAGACUGCGAUUUCAAACAUGUGGAGAAGGUUGCAAGAGCCUGAAGCAGAGCUUGCGCAGCUGAUCUUCACUCCGUUCGGUGGUAAGAUGAGUGAGGUUGCUGAUUACGAGACGCCGUUUCCUCACCGUGAAGGGAACAUGUACGAGAUUCAGUACUUGAAUUACUGGAGAGGAGGAGGAGGAGAGGAGAAAGAGAAGUAUAUGAGGUGGGUGGAGAGAGUUUACGAUGAGAUGAGUGAGUUUGUGGCGAGGUCUCCGAGGGGAGCUUAUAUAAAUUUAAGGGAUCUUGAUUUGGGGAUGUAUGUUGGGGGUAAGAGGAGUAAGUACGAGGAAGGGAAGAGUUGGGGAGUUAAGUAUUUUAAGAAUAAUUUCGAGAGGUUGGUUAGAGUUAAGACGAGUGUUGAUCCUUUUGAUUUCUUCUGUGAUGAACAGAGCAUUCCUCCGUUUAGUUCCGUUGAAGUUAUGUGAAAGAGUUAGAAUGUUAUGACAGUUCAAGAUUUUGUUGUCGGAAAAUCAGAGAGUAUAGAGUGACGAAGGGAAGUGCUAGUGAGUGUUUGUGUUAGUAUGUACUUAUAAGUUCUUAGCAUUUAUUUUGAAAUAUAUUUAGUAAUAUAUAAUAAGAUUCAAAUCGAUCUUAUUCUUUUUUUUUGAGAAAUAAAUCGAUCUUAUUCUUCUACUUGUAGAAAUUGGAUCCAUGUGAGAAACUCAGAGCUGUUUUAUUUCAUCCAAAAACAUUAA